rnacentral:rRNA from 1 species
CUCUGUGACUCCUACGGGAGGCAGCAGUGGGAAUAUUGCACAAUGGGCGCAAGCCUGAUGCAGCAACGCCGCGUGAGCGAUGAAGGCCUUCGGGUCGUAAAGCUCUGUCCUCAAGGAAGAAUAAAUGACGGUACUUGAGGAGGAAGCCCCCGGCUAACUACGUGCCAGCAGCCGCGGUAAUACGUAGGGGGCAAGCGUUAUCCGGAAUCACUGGGGCGUAAAGGGGUGCGUAGGCGGUUUUUCAAGUCAGAAGUGAAAGGCUAUGGCUCAACCAUAGUAAGCUUUUGAAACUGUUAAACUUGAGUGCAGGAGAGGAAAGUGGAAUUCCUAGUGUAGAGGUGAAAUUCGUAGAUAUUAGGAGGAACACCAGUGGCGAAGGCGACUUUCUGGACUGUAACUGACGCUGAGGCACGAAAGCGUGGGGAGCGAACAGGAUUAGAUACCCUGGGG